rnacentral:misc_RNA from 1 species
GGUGGGGGGGGGGGGGGGGGGGGUUGUGUGGCGAGGAGGUUUGCCUUAAAUGUAAAUGAUUAACAGAAUGAGCAGCUUAACUAGAUUAGGGAUUUCUUUUCCAAUUAACAACGCUUAUGACCCAAACUAACCCUAAAACCUAAACAUAAGUGAAUGAGACAAUGGCAUAAUAUUCAAAAACCAACCACAAUUACUGAAGAAGGAUCAUUCACACGCAUAUGCACAGUUACAC